AGUUAAUGAACUUGAAUAAGUAUAUAUUUUGAAAAUAUAAGAUAUUGGUAUAAUCCUUUAUUAACUU
rnacentral:tRNA from 1 species